GACGAACGCUGGCGGCGUGCCUAAUACAUGCAAGUCGAACGCAGUGGGGACGGGUGCGUAACACGUUGGUAACCUCCCAUCAGAGGGGAUAACACUUGGAAACUGGUGCUAACCUCAUACUGAAGUAUGGACCCGCGGUGCAUUAGCGAGUUGGUGAGGUAACGGCCCACCAAGGCCACGAUGCUUAGCAGCCAUGAGAGGGUGAUCGGCCACACUGGAACUGAGACACGGCCCAGACUCCUAAGGGAGGCAGCAGUAGGGAAUCGUGGGCAAUGGACGAAAGUCUGACCGAGCAACGCCGCGUGAAUGAAGAAGGUUUUCGGAUCGUAAAACUCUGUUGUUAGAGAAGCGGUAUCUAACCAGAAAGCCACGGCUAACUACGUGCCAGCCGACGCGGUAAUAC
rnacentral:rRNA from 1 species